rnacentral:rRNA from 1 species
UUAUCCGGAUUUAUAGGGUUUAAAGGGAGCGUAGGCGAGCGUUUAAGUCAGUUGUGAAAGUUUGCGGCUCAACCGUAAAAUUGCAGUUGAUACUGGGUGUCUUGAGUACAGUAGAGGCAGGCGGAAUUCGUGGUGUAGCGGUGAAAUGCUUAGAUAUCACGAAGAACUCCGAUUGCGAAGGCAGCUUGCUGGACUGUAACUGACGCUGAUGCUCGAAAGUGUGGGUAUCAAACAGGAUUAGAUACCCUGGUAGUCCACACAGUAAACGAUGAAUACUCGCUGUUUGCGAUAUACAGUAAGCGGCCAAGCGAAAGCGUUAAGUAUUCCACCUGGGGAGUACGCCGGCAACGGUGAAACUCAAAGGAAUUGACGGGGGCCCGCACAAGCGGAGGAACAUGUGGUUUAAUUC